AUACGGAGGGUCCAAGCGUUAUCCGGAUUCAUUGGGUUUAAAGGGUCCGCAGGCGGGAAAAUAAGUCAGUGGUGAAAGCCUACAGCUCAACUGUAGAACUGCCAUUGAUACUGUUUUUCUUGAGUAUAGAUGAAGUGGGCGGAAUAUAUCAUGUAGCGGUGAAAUGCAUAGAUAUGAUAUAGAACACCGAUUGCGAAGGCAGCUCACUAAACUAUUACUGACGCUCAGGGACGAAAGCGUGGGGAGCGAACCGGAUUAGAUACCCUAGUAGUCC
rnacentral:rRNA from 1 species